AGCGAACGCUGGCGGCAGGCCUAACACAUGCAAGUCGAACGAACCUUUCGGGGUUAGUGGCGGACGGGUGAGUAACACGUGGGAACGUGCCUUUAGGUUCGGAAUAACUCAGGGAAACUUGUGCUAAUACCGAAUGUGCCCUUCGGGGGAAAGAUUUAUCGCCUUUAGAGCGGCCCGCGUCUGAUUAGCUAGUUGGUUGAGGUAAUGGCUCACCAAGGCGACGAUCAGUAGCUGGUCUGAGAGGAUGAUCAGCCACAUUGGGACUGGGACACGGCCCAAACUCCUACGGGAGGCAGCAGUGGGGAAUCUUGCGCAAUGGGCGAAAGCCUGACGCAGCCAUGCCGCGUGAAGGAUGAAGGUCUUAGGAUUGUAAAAUUCUUUCACCGGGGACGAUAAUGACGGUACCCGGAGAAGAAGCCCCGGCUAACUUCG
rnacentral:rRNA from 1 species